ACAGCGGAAGACAUGAGCGCGGGCAUGGGUGGCUUCUGGCCGGAGCCGUGGCUGCCGCAGUCGCUCGGCUCCCCGGGCCUGGCCCUCGCCGCGGGCCUGCUGCUGCUGGUCUUGUGCCUGAGCGCGCGGCGCACCAGGAGACGUGGUGAGCCUCCAUUGAUAAAAGGCUGGCUUCCUUACUUUGGACAAGCCCUGAAAUUACAAAAAGAUCCUCUGGGUUUCAUGACUACUCUUCAAAAGCAGUAUGGCGACAUUUUCACUCUUCUCCUUGGAGGAAAGUAUAUAACAUUUAUCCUGGAUCCUUUCCACUACACAUCAGUGGCAAAAAAUCAAAAAUUAAGCUUUCAAAUAUUUACUAAUAAAUUCUUAAAGAGAGUAUUUUCUAUCAAAAAGAUGAUAACAGAUUCUGACCUCAUCGACGAGAUUCAUAGUACCUAUCAAUUUUUACAAGGGAAGCAUUUGGACAUACUGAUGGAAAGCACAAUGCAGAAUCUGAAACAAGUUUUUGAACCCCAACUUUUAAAAACCACAAGCUGGAGCACGGAAUAUUUGUUGCCAUUCUGCAACUCAGUGAUAUUCGAAAUGACAUUUGCAACCAUAUAUGGAAAUGUUCUUGCUGAUGAUAAGAAAACAUUUAUUACUGAGUUAAAAGAUGAUUUUUCAAAAUUUGAUGAAAAAUUCACACAUUUAGCAUCAGGCAUACCCAUUGAGCUUCUAGGAAACCUCAAGUCUGUUCGAACUAAACUUAUAAAAGACUUGACAGUAGAAAGCUUAGCUAAGUUACAAGGACUAUCUGAAGUUGUUCAAAGAAGGAAUGAUAUCCUGGAGAAAUACUAUAUGCCCAAGGACACUGAAAUAGGAGCACAUCAUUUAGGCUUGCUCUGGGCCUCUGUGACAAACACUGUUCCAACCAUGUUCUGGGCAAUGUAUUACCUUCUACGGCACCCGAAAGCUAUGGCCGUGCUGCGUGACGAAAUUGACCAUUUGCUGCAGUCAACAGGUCAAAAGAAAGGGCCCGGAUUUUCCAUCUACCUCACCAGAGAACAAUUGGACAGCCUGGUCUACCUUGAAAGUACCAUUCUUGAGGUUUUGCGACUCUGCUCCUUUUCUGGCAUCUUUCGUUUCGUUCAAGAGGACUUGACACUUCAUUUAGAGAGCCAGGACUGCUGUCUGCGAAAGGGAGACUUUGUUGUCAUCUUUCCUCCCAUCUUACACCACGACCCUGAAAUCUUUGAAGCUCCAGAAGAGUUUAGAUUUGAUCGUUUUACAGAAAAUGGUAAGAAGAAAACCACCUUUUUUAAAAGAGGGAAAAAGCUGAAGUAUUACCACUUGCCAUUUGGAUUGGGAGUCAGCAAAUGUCCAGGCCGAUUUUUGGCCAUGGUUGAAAUAAAGCAAUUGUUGGUUGUGCUUUUAACUUACUUUGAUUUAGAAAUAAUUGAUAAUAAGCCCUUAGAACUAAACUAUAGCCGCUUUUUGUUUGGUAUUCCUUACCCAGACUCUGAUGUUUUAUUUAGAUACAAAAUAAAAUCGUAA
rnacentral:lncRNA from 1 species